CUCUUCCCGCCAUCUUGGCUCCUGUGGAGGCCUGCUGGGAACGGGACUUCUAAAAGGAACUAUGUCUGGAAGGCUGUGGUCCAAGGCCAUUUUUGCCGGCUAUAAGCGGGGUCUCCGGAACCAAAGGGAGCACACAGCUCUUCUUAAAAUUGAAGGUGUUUACGCCCGAGAUGAAACAGAAUUCUAUUUGGGCAAGAGAUGCGCUUAUGUAUACAAAGCAAAGAAGCUAAAGUGCAGUGGCACGAUCUCAGCUCACUGCAAUCUCUGCUUCCUGGGUUCAAGCAAUUCUCCUGCCUCAGCCUCCGAGUUAGCAACACAGUCACUCCUGGCGGCAAACCAAACAAAACCAGAGUCAUCUGGGGAAAAGUAACUCGGGCCCAUGGAAACAGUGGCAUGGUUCGUGCCAAAUUCCGAAGCAAUCUUCCUGCUAAGGCCAUUGGACACAGAAUCCGAGUG
rnacentral:sRNA from 1 species